UCUAUAUAUAGUAAAGAACAACGUGGAAAAGUGAAACCAAAACAUGAGGUUGAAACAGGUAAAUAAUCAUUAAAAUAAAAAAAUGUUUGUCAAAAUCGCCAUUUUUACUAAUUCCCUUUUCUACCUAUCUUUAAAUUGAUUUAAAAUCCCUUCCAAACUGAGUUGCCGGUUUGUUUACAUUCAACUGAUCAAGACUAGUGACCUACAAAAGUAUAUCAGGCCAAGCAGACGUAAAAAUCGUAUCGAACAAAUAUGGAAAUUUUAAUGAAUUUUUUGCACAGAUUAUGAAAAAUUCGAGAAAAAUGAUGAAUUAUCGCUAUAAAAUAGCUUCUACUGCCGAAUGUGAUUUUUCCCACAGCGUCAUGGUUACAAAAAAAGGUAAGGUUUUUUUAAUAUCUUACCAAUAUUGACGAUGGAGGGCUCAAAAUCUAGCUGAGAAUUUGCGCUUUACAUAAACAGAAAUAAAUAUAUACACAUACACAAUGUUAAAACCCAAAAAUACAGCAAUAAACAAAAGACAUCAUAUUACAUUUCAGGCUAAACCUACCUUCCUCAGGCAUGAUAAAAAGUACAGGCUUGUACAGUCCCACGGCUAUGACAAAUGCAUACAUAUCAGUAAAGAAUAAUGAAAUGUCACAGAGAAAAGCAGCUCUGCAAUUUAAUGUCCCAAGGCAAACUCUACGUGAUAGAAUCACCGGCA
rnacentral:lncRNA from 1 species